rnacentral:rRNA from 1 species
UACGAAGGGUGCAAGCGUUACUCGGAAUUACUGGGCGUAAAGCGUGCGUAGGUGGUUCGUUAAGUCUGAUGUGAAAGCCCUGGGCUCAACCUGGGAAUGGCAUUGGAAACUGGCGAUCUAGAGUGCGGUAGAGGGUAGUGGAAUUCCCGGUGUAGCAGUGAAAUGCGUAGAUAUCUGGAGGAACACCGGUGGCGAAGGCGGCAUCCUGGACCGGUAUUGACGCUGAGGAGCGAAAGCCAGGGGAGCAAACGGG